CAANGGUCUUCUGUCCUACCUACGCUUGCCCCUCUCGUGUUUUCUUCUUCCUCUUCAGCCUCUCUAGGUGCAGAGACCUUCUUCAUUUUCUUGAACCUUAGCCUAAGAUUCUUGAAUUUAAACCCAAAAUGAUCAUUUCCAGAAGUUUUUUUGUUCUCUCCACUUCGUGAGAAUCUGAGUUGACUAAGGCAUGCCCUUUAACAUCCUUAUAAAAAAGGCAUGCCCUUUAACACUUUCACUACCAAACAGUUCAUCAGCUCAAACCUAAUCCCAUGUAAGUCUUUCUCUAACUUCACCAUUUACCACUUCUUUUCAGCUCUUUCCAACCCCUCUCAUACUGACCAUGAAAUAGAAGCUGCCCCUUCUGAUAGUUCUUUUAAACUUUCCCCAAAUCCCAAGUUGGGUUCUCCUGAAACUGACAUAAAAAUUCCCCCUUUUGAUAAUUCAUCUAAUUUUUCCUCAAAACUCAAGUUGGGCUCUUGUGAAACUGAAAUAAAUUUGCCCCCUUUUGAUAGUUCAUUUAAAGUUGCACCUACACCCAAGUUGGGUUCUUGUGAAACUGAAAUGAAAAUGCCCCCUUUUGAUAAUUCAUUUAAAUUUGCCCCAAAACCCAUGUUGGGUUCUUGUGAAACUGAAAUGGAAAUACCAAUUUCAGAUAAGUUAUUCAAAGAGGCCCCAAAGUUAGGUUCUUUCAAAAUGGGUGAUUCUACAUUCUAUUCCCUUGUUGAGAAAUAUGCUAGUUCUGGGGACUUCGGGUCUUUGGAGAUGGUUUUUGAUAGAAUGAAGCGCGAAAAAAGAGUCUCUAUUGAGAAGAGUUUUAUCUUAGUGUUUAGAGCUUAUGGAAAAGCCCGUUUGCCCGAAAAAGCUGUCGAAUUGUUUGAUAGAAUGGUGGAUGAGUUUCAAUGUAAACGAACCGUGAAGUCGUUUAAUUCUGUUCUUAAUGUGAUAGUUCAGGCAGGCUUAUAUCGUCGUGCAUUAGAUUUUUAUGCUCGUGUUAUAAAUAAUAGUAACAUUAUGCCGAAUGGGCUUUCUUUUAAUUUAGUUAUGAAGACUAUGUGCAAGCUUCGGAUGGUUGAUAGAGCUAUGGAGGUGUUCAGAGAAAUGCCUUCUUGGAAAUGCGAGCCGGAUGUUUAUACGUAUUGCACUUUGAUGGAUGGCUUGUGCAAGGAUGACCGGAUUGAUGAGGCGGUUAUUCUUUUGGAUGAAAUGCAGAUAGAGGGAUGUUUUCCUGUUCCAGUAACAUUUAAUGUGUUGAUUAAUGGGCUUUGCAAGAAAGGUGACUUGGCUCGAGCUGCAAAGCUUUUGGAUAACAUGUUUCUUAAAGGGUGUGUCCCCAAUGAAGUGACUUAUAACACGCUUAUACAUGGUUUGUGCCUCAAAGGUAAGUUGGAGAAAGCUGUUAGUUUAUUGGAUAGAAUGGUGUCAAAUAAGUAUGUCCCGACUGAUGUAACCUAUGGAACUAUUAUCAAUGGGUUCAUUAAGCAAGGAAGAGCAAGUGACGGCGUGCAGAUCUUGUUGGCAAUGCAGGAGAAAGGACAUCUGGCAAAUGAAUAUGUCUACUCAGCGCUAGUUAGUGGGCUGUUUAAAGAGGGAAAACCUGAAGAGGCGUUAAAAAUAUGGACGGAAAUGAUAGAAAAGGGAGUGAAGCCUAAUACAGUUGUUUAUUCUGCUUUUAUAGAUGGCUUGUGUCAAGAAGGCAGACCUGACGAAGCUAAGGAGAUCCUUUCUGAGAUGAUUAAAAUGGGUUGCACUCCCAAUGCCUACACUCACUGCUCUCUAAUGAAAGGGUACUUUAAAACCGGUGACAGCAACAAGGCUAUAUUUGUAUGGAAAGAAAUGGCGACCAGUGGUAUCACAUGUAAUGAAAUCUGUUACAGUGUACUCAUCCACGGACUGUGUCAAGACGGGAAGCUCAAAGAGGCUAUGAUGAUGUGGAAGCAAAUGUUAGGCAAAGGAUUGGUCCCUGAUGCCGUGGCUUAUAGUUCAAUGAUUCACGGCCUUUGCAAUGCUGGGUCUGUGGAUCAGGGAUUGAGACUUUUCAAUGAGAUGCUAUGUAGAGGAUCUGAGUCUCAGCCUGAUGUAAUAGCAUAUAACAUAAUUCUUAAUGCUUUAUGCAAGGUGGAUAGAGUUUCUCUAGCAAUUGAUCUUUUGAAUACUAUGUUGGAUCAAGGUUGUGAUCCUGACGCAGUUACAUGUAAUAUUUUCUUGAAAACUUUAAAUGAAAAAGAAAAUGUAUCCCGAGAUGGGGAAGACUUCCUGGAUAAGCUGGUGCUGAAACUGUACAGGCGACAGAGAAUUGUAGGAGCUUCAAGAAUUAUAGAAGUGAUGCUUCAAAAUUUUCUUUAUCCCAAGUCCUCUACUUGGGAAAUGAUUAUUCGAGAACUCUGCAAACCAAAGAAGGUUCAAGGAGCUAUUAACAAGUGUUGGAGUGACCUUUUCAUCUGAUAUUAGAGAAAUUGUAACUUUUGGGGGACAUUUUGUCAAGUGGCACUCGGAUAUGUGGCAUGGAAGUUGGUGCCGAAGCUUCUGAGAAGCAUUGCUCGGGUUUUAGAAAAGUUCAAGAAAAUAUGAAAAUGAUACAAACACUACUAGUUCCUUGAAGAAUAAGUGCGAUUGGGACUCAAGUCCAAGAUUUCUUGGUAGGUGUAAAAAAACUUAUGACCUGGCUUUUUCCACGUCUUCUUCCGAGAUCAU